rnacentral:rRNA from 1 species
GACGAACGCUGGCGGCGUGCUUAACACAUGCAAGUCGAACGGUAAGGCCCUUCGGGGUACACUAGCGGCGGACGGGUGAGUAACACGUGGGCAACCUGCCUCAUAGAGGGGAAUAGCCUUCCGAAAGGAAGAUUAAUACCGCAUAAGAUUGUGGCUUCGCAUGAAGCAGCAAUUAAAGGAGCAAUCCGCUAUGAGAUGGGCCCGCGGCGCAUUAGCUAGUUGGUGAGGUAACGGCUCACCAAGGCGACGAUGCGUAGCCGACCUGAGAGGGUGAUCGGCCACAUUGGGACUGAGACACGGCCCAGACUCCUACGGGAGGCAGCAGUGGGGAAUAUUGCACAAUGGGGGAAACCCUGAUGCAGCAAUGCCGCGUGAGUGAUGACGGCCUUCGGGUUGUAAAGCUCUGUCUUCGGGGACGAUAAUGACGGUACCCGAGGAGGAAGCCACGGCUAACUACGUGCCAGCAGCCGCCGUAA